rnacentral:lncRNA from 1 species
CAUGAUUGUAUGAGUGGUUUGUCGAAUCUAUGUCUAUUUAUCUUCAAUUGGUCCCACCAUGCCGAGGCUCCUCCUUUCAAUUUCAGAGCCAUAAGUUCUCGGUGUUUUUUAUCCAAUCCAAGAAAGAUUUGAUAUCUCGUUUACCAUUAUAGGUUGGGAGGUCAAUUUUCAUUUUGUAGUCGUGAUGAAUCUCUCGUCAUGCUUUAUGUCCUCUAUAGCCAUAAGCCAUUCGAUAUUCUCCGUUGUCGUUCCAAAUAUUUCCUUGGUCGUCGCCAUUGGAAGAAUCAUAAUCUUGCACGUUUUGCCACUCCUCGUCGUCAUCUUGCUCAUCAUCGUCGGCGUGUCGUAGUGGGAUUCCUCCUGGUCUCCUUCUUUGAUCAUUUCUUUGGUUGGGCCAGUUUCUAAGGUUCCUUUGAGCCCGUCAGCCACCUCUGUUUCCUGCCUUCCAGUCAUAAUCCUCGUUCCUUGUCGGUGCCGGUAGUUCAUCCAUUCUU